AUGGCAGCUUCCACCUCGCCGUGCUGCUGGCAGGACUGCGCCUCGUGGCACCCUGGGCACUCCCAAGCAGGUGAGACAGCAAGAAGAGAGGUCUUGUCACUGCUGCCGAUGUGCAUCAUGGCUGUGUGCUUUGUAGAAGAACUGAAGGUGAAUGCUGCACAGCUUGGAGCAACAACAAGCAACUUGAAGGCGUCGUGGCAAACUGGUGGUUCUCAUCCAUCUCUGUGUGAACAGAUCGUUGCUUAUGAAGUUGUUUUAGCAUGCUCUGUUGAGCCAUACGCUUACCUACAUCAGAGAGUGGAACAGAGCUGUGGCGAGACGUUUUGGAGGCUGGCAUCAACCGAGGGAAGGAUUAAGAAGAUGUACUGGGGGCCAUGUGCUUUGCCACAUCACAAAGAAAACCACAGGACUUCAGAUCAGAGGAGCUGCCAGAUGUACUUGCCUGGCAGAACACCACGCAAGGGUCACAGCUCAGGCUGCCAGACCGAGCAGGCUGCCUCAGCAAAGCAGGAUGGGGACAUCACCUGUUUCCAGAAAAGGGGCCACAGAAGAAAGAAGCUCGGAGCAAGCACAUAG
rnacentral:lncRNA from 1 species